rnacentral:snoRNA from 1 species
ACUGCCCCUCACGGCCUUGCAGGUGAGGCUGCUGUGUGUCACAUGUCACAGGUGGCAGAGAGGAGAGAGGCCAUGUCUGUGCUCAGUGUUCUGACCUGUGACAUCUGACACUCCCUGAGAGCCAGCCGUG